CGCCCCUGGGAAGGUUUUUAAAGACAGCUGAGGGAGGGAGGGCAUGUUUCUAGAGGGCUGUGGAGUACCCUCUGGGCCAACGUUGGGCAACACAGCCUCCAGCAAGAAAGCAAGUGUGCAGGCCAGUUCCCCGGGGACUCCAGCGGCCACGUAAGCCACUCUCCUCUCCAGGGGGAACGUGUACCUGUUGAACAUCUCUUCGUCUUACUGAUAAAUAAGCUUCUAAGAAGGCAAAUAUUUGUCAAAACCAACACCUGGUGGGUCAGAGCAGUGUUCAUUGCCAAGGUUAAACACAAAGAGAAAGGAAAGAAGAAAGCCGUUGUCAUUGUGAACGUGGUUAAGUGGCCUCUGUUGAUUGUGGCGGGGGAGGGGGGUAGUCACAGUUCUGGCUGGUUGCUAGGAAGGGCCAUGCAACAAUGAACAUGCAUCUGUGUCCUCAUUGUAGAAACUUGAGCAGAUCUGUCUGACCACUCAAACAGCAAGCAGGACAGGAACAAAAGCAAAAACAAAAUGUAGCCUAAGAGCUCAAGUCUCACGUGGAGCCAGCCAGGGUGGCAGAAUGACAAAAGUUCUGGACGUGCCACACAAAACUCAAGAAGAAAGGAGCCCAUCUGGGAGUGAGCAAGACUGAUUGGUUGACUUUGAGAGGGCCGGCCUGGACUUGAUUUUGAGGGAAAGGCCUCAGUACUGGCACUUUCUCUGGGAAGUGGGAUUCUCCCCUCUACGUCCCCUUCAAACAACGUUCAGUGAAGCCCUGCCUUAUUUUAAAUUGGCUUGGAGAGGGGUUUCUGCUCAUUGACUUGGAGAGGGGUUUUUCAGGAGACAAACAAGACUCUCAGAGAGUUUUAAAAAAUCAAAAGAAGAAGAAGGAGGAGGAAGAGGAGGAGGAAGAGGAGGAGAAGGAGAAGAAGAAGAAAAACAUUUCAGGACUUCAUGAAAUGUCCCACAAUAGGAAAAUCCUCGGCUUUGAACAAAUACCAAAGGGGUCAGAGUCUGAAAAAGGUGAAGAACACAGAGUAUAAAAUAUUUAUUUACCAAGGUUAUUCUAGGAUGUAAUCCUUCAAUUUGUUCUAUACAACUGUCUUGCUGUU